GUACGGGGACUCAGGUAUGUUUACUAUUCCCUGUAGGAUAGAUAAUACUGUGAUCAGAAGGGCCAUGUUGGAUCUGGGAGCAUCGAUUAAUGUCAUGCCUAAAUCUAUCUAUGCUUCUUUGAAACUAGGUCCAUUAAAAGAAACUGGAAUAAUUAUUCAAUUAGCUGACCGAACUAAUGCAUAUCCUGAUGGGUUGAUUGAAGAUGUGUUGGUAAAGGUCAAUGAUUUGGUGUUUCCAGCUGAUUUUUAUGUACUUGAUAUGGAUGAUGAUCACUCCCCUGAUCCCUCACCUUUGUUAUUGGGUAGACCUUUUAUGAGCACAGCACAGACGAAAAUUGAUGUUAAUAAGGGUACCUUGUCCAUGGAGUUUGAUGGGGAAAUUGUGCAUUUUAACAUUUUUGAUACUAUGAAGUACCCCUCGAACUCCAACUUUAGCUCAAUUUUUUCUGUGAGUGCUAUUGACCCUGUAGUGCAGGAAGUGUUUGAAACUGAUGGCAGGGAUGAGUUGGAAGUGGCUUUAACCAAGCACCUCGAGUUGGAGACAACUCCUCAGGUGGAGUGGAGUGAGGAUUUAAAAUGCACAAUAGAUGCAUUACACUCAUUGCCGACCACCACGAAAAGGUAUGAAAUCUUACCUAUUUUUACUCCCGAGCCUCACCAGAGCGUAUUGCCAUCUGUGGUGUAGGCACCUGUACUGGAGUUGAAACCUCUACCAGAGCACCUGAAAUAUGCAUAUUUGGGUGAUAAUGAGACACUCCCGGUGAUUAUCUCAUCGGCACUGUCAAAAAUCCAGGAGGAGAAACUGAUCCGGGUCCUUAGAGAGCAUAAAGAGGCGAUAGGUUGGACAAUUGCAGACAUUAAGGGGAUCAACCCGGCCGUCUGUAUGCAUCGGAUUAGACUAGAAGAGGAUGCCAAACCUGUACGACAGGCUCAAAGGAGGCUCAAUCCCCUCAUGAUGGAAGUUGUAAAGAAAGAAAUCUUAAAAUUGUUAGAUGUGGGGAUUAUUUUUACAAUAUCAGAUAGCCCUUGGGUGAGCCCGGUCCAGGUAGUCCCAAAGAAGGCAGGAGUGACUGUAGAGGCCAACCAAACGGGUGAACUCGUGCCAGUGCGCAAACCCACUGGAUGGAGGCAAUGUAUAGACUACCGUAGGCUAAAUGCCGUCACCAAAAAGGACCACUUCCCUCUCCCUUUCAUUGACCAAAUGGUUGAACGUUUAGCUUGUAGGGCUUAUUAUUGCUUUUUGGAUGGAUUUUCAGGAUACUUUCAGAUAGCAAUUGCCCCGAAGGAUCAAGAGAAGACAACCUUCACGUGCCCGUUCGGGACCUUUGCCUACAGACGAAUGCCAUUCGGGUUAUGCAAUGCACCUGCAACAUUUAAGAGGUGUAUGGUAAGUAUUUUUUCUGAAUAUGUGGAGAAAAUUAUUGAAGUUUUCAUGGACGAUUUCAGUGUAUAUGGUGAUAGUUUUGAUACGUGUCUAGAUAAUCUGAAAUUGAUCUUGAUAAGGUGUAUAGAGACUAAUCUUGUGCUUAAUUGGGAAAAAUGUCAUUUUAUGGUUGAGCACGGGAUAGUCAUGGGUCAUAUUGUAUCGUCUAAGGGCAUAGAAGUUGACAAGGCUAAAAUAGACAUUAUUUCUGCAUUACCUUACCUCGCGAGUGUGCGGGAGGUGCGUUCUUUUCUUGGACAUGCAGGUUUUUAUCGAAGGUUCAUCAGGGACUUUUCAAAAAUUGGAGCCCCGUUGUUCCAACUCCUACAAAAGGAUGUGACCUUCGAAUUCAAUGACAAAUGUGAGAAGGCCUUCGACAAGUUGAAAGAAUUGUUGACUUCACCCCCAAUCAUCCAGCCCCCUGACUGGAGUCUACCAUUUGAGAUUAUGUGCGAUGCCAGUGAUCAUGCUGUAGGGGCUGUAUUGGGGCAAAGAGUAGGGAAGGCAGCUCACGUCAUCUAUUAUGCAUCCCGAGCAUUGAAUGGAGCCCAGUUGAAUUACUCCACCACUGAGAAGGAGCUUCUUGCAGUUAUUUUUGCUUUAGAAAAAUUCAGGUCAUAUUUGCUAGGUGCUAAAGUAAUUGUAUUUUCUGACCAUGCAGCAUUAAGGUACCUAAUGACCAAGAAAGAUGCAAAGCCGAGGCUCAUCAGGUGGAUAUUGCUACUACAGGAAUUUGACCUGGAGAUAAGAGACAAAAAAGGCUCAGAAAAUCUAGUAGCAGACCAUUUAAGUCGCAUACCAAUUGGGGAGGAUAAUAAGCCAUUGAAGGAUGCAUUCCUUGAAGAGCAUUUAUUUUCCUUAAAUUCUCAAUUGUCUUGGUAUGCUGAUUUGGUCAAUUAUCUAGUAACGGGUGAUUUUCCUGCAGGUUGGCCAAAAUCGAAAAAGGAUAAAUUGAAAAGUGACGCCAAGUAUUUCAUCUGGGACGACCCGUACCUAUGGAAGAGAUGUGCCGACCAAAUAAUGAGGAGAUGUGUAAGUGAAGUGGAAUUUCAAUCAAUUUUAGCUUUUUGCCAUACUUUUGCCUGUGGAGGUCAUUUUGGACCUAAGAGAACUGCUCAGAAGGUUUUAGAAAGUGGAUUUUAUUGGCCUUCACUGUUUAAAGAUGCCUAUGUGUUUUGUAAGUCCUGUGAUCGCUGUCAACGGGUAGGUAAUAUAGCCCGAAGGGAUCAAAUGCCCCAGGUCUCGUUGAUUUUUAUUGAAAUUUUUGAUGUCUGGAGUAUAGAUUUCAUGGGGCCUUUUCCUACUUCAUUUGGUUUUUUAUAUAUUUUGCUGGCAGUUGAUUAUGUGUCUAAAUGGGUGGAGGCUAAGGCCACUCGAACUAAUGACUCGAAAGUAGUUGCAGAUUUUAUCAGGUCUAAUAUUUUUGUGCGAUUUGGAAUGCCUAGAGCUAUUGUCAGUGAUAGGGGAACGCACUUUUGCAACAAAACCAUAGCUGCGUUGUUUCGCAAGUAUGGUGUACUCCACAGGGUCUCAACGUCAUACCACCCUCAGACCAAUGGUCAAGCGGAGGUGUCGAAUCGGGAGAUUAAGACCAUUUUAGAGAAAAUGGUGCGCCCUAAUAGGAAAGAUUGGAGCCAAAGGUUGGAGGACGCACUCUGGGCCUAUCGGACGGCGUACAAGACUCCUAUAGGGAUGUCACCGUACAUGUUGGUAUUUGGGAAGCCGUGUCACCUUCCAGUGGAGUUCGAGCACAAGGCUUUUUGGACGAUAAAGCAAUGUAAUAUGAAUCUAGAAGAGGCCGGUGUUCAACGGAAGCUGGAUUUGCAAGAAUUGGAGGAGAUCCUGAACGAAGCAUAGGAAAACGCCUUGAUUUAUAAGGAGAAAAACCGGGCAUUUCAUGACCUACAAAUUUCAAGAAAAACAUUUGAAGUUGGUCAGAAGGUACUCCUGUACCAAUCCAGGCUCAAGCUAUUCCCAGGUAAGCUACGUUCCCGUUGGAUUGGACCUUUCAUUGUUACUCACGUUUUUCCAUAUGGUGCAGUUGAGAUCCGAAGUGCUAAGACAGCUAACAAAUUUGUGGUGAAUGGACACCGUCUCAUAUAUUAUUACGAAAGAUUUUCGGAUAGAGAGGUGGAGACAAUAAGGCUUGACGCACCACCGUGUCCUAAUCAGUGACACUUUACCAUGUCUAGCCAAAAACAUUAAAGAAAGGCGCUCAUUGGGAGGCAACCCAAUUGUUCUUUUUAGUUCGUUGUUCAAUUUCGUGUAGUAGUUUAGAAGUGUUCUCCUGGUUGUUCGACUGAUUUUGGGGUUUCAGUUUUCGUUUUUGCUGAUUUAUAGGUGCUCUUGCCCUCAUGACGUGCCCGCGUGGUGAUGUGCAGGACGCUCACGAUCAGGAACUUCUGAAACUUCUGGGAGCUCUCUUGCCCUCUUGACGUGCCCGCGUCACGUUCGCGGGAAAGGUAAGGAUUCAAAAAAAAAAUAGAAAAAAUUAUUAUUAUUAUUUCAUUUAUUCAAAUAAUAACAAAAAUAAAAAAAAGGAAAAAAAAUCAAGAGCAAGAAAAAUUUUUUCCUCUUAACCGUAGCAAUUUCUUUUAUUUCAAAAAGAAAGAAAAAAAAAACACACACACACGAGAGUUCCUUUCUUUUUCUUUCUUCUUUUCCCUUUCUUCUUCUUUCUUUCUUUCUCUUUUCUUUCUUUCUCCCCUGCUGCUCCCCUGCUCUCUGCGCACGCCACAGCCAAAUCCAUUUAUCGCCAUUGCCGCCGCGCGCUCGACCAGCCCAAGCCGCCGCCAUCGUUGCUAGAGUCGCGCGCCGCUGCUGCUCUGCGCGCCUCUCGCCAUCGCCACCUGCCAGCAAGUCUGCCCGCGCGCCGCCGCCAGUCAGCAGAUCUCUCUCCCCAUCGCCGUCCGCGAUCUACCACUGUUGCCACCACAGGUCAACCCGCCACAGCGCUGCCGCUGCUGUAGUUCCGGCGCAGCCACCACCAGCCGCCGAGCGACCCACUGAGCGAGUCGACGCCCGCGACCCCAGCGCGCCACCAAGCCGCGGCCCAUCCUCUGCGCCGCCGCUGCCAAAGUUCCAUCGUCGCCCACGCGACUCCCACCGCACUUGGCAACGAGCCCACGGGCACGCGCAGCAACCUCUGUCCGGCAACCGUGCUCUGCACAUGGACACCACCAGCUGCACCUCCGCCUCUCUGUCUGCCGCCUGGAGUAGUCCCAGUGGAGCUAACUGUGGGAGAAAUGGUCCGACCAAAGUCAUCAUCUAGGUCUAGGGCCUCUCGUUCUCAGCCCCCUCCACAGGCCUCUAUUCCAGUCAACUCACCUACCAACCUACCCUCCUCUUCUAGUGUUCGAACCCGUUUGGGUAGGGGUAGGGGUAGGGGUGCGCAGGUAGAUACCCCAGUUCACUUUGGGGGGCACCUAAACUUCACUAGACCCGCCGAUCAGGAGCGAUAUGCUAAGGUCUGCGAGCGGCGGAUUACACCAAGCAAGACUUGGGAAAAAUUAACCGUCAUGGGUCUAGGCAUACGAGAGGAGGUCGAGCAGAUGUUUACAGCUAUCGGGUGGCGCUCAUAUCUCGAUAUCUUAUGCCCCGCCUUUGUCGAGCUGACUCGGGAGUUUUACUCCACCUUUGAGUUCGAGUUACCUACGAGAUACACCGUUGACACACCACAGGUCAUUCAUUUCCGGCUCAUGGGUCGAGAGUUCAAUUUCUCCAUUACCCAAUUCAAUCGGGCAUUUGGGUUUAUCACUAGAGAGUAUGCUAGGACUAGGGAGUAUGCAGAGAGUGCUUGUGACUACGUUGAGCCGUUCCUCUCUCACUACCAUGAUGUGUGGGAAGACAUGUCCGUCGAUCAGCAGCGCUACGAUCCUUCCCGGUCUAGGAGCUCCUUUCUUAAGGACCCUAGUGCCCGCUAUGUUCAGCGUUUCUUAACCUACAGCUACUCGGGGCGCAAGGACAGCUCUGGCAUACUCUCUCGCCCUGAGUUCUUCUUCCUCUGGAGUAUGAUGAACAAUAUCAAGGUUAAUUUGGGGUGUUGGUUGGCCGCACAGUUCAAGACCGUCUUGGCCAAAAAGAACAAACCCCUUAUCCUUGGGUCCUAUAUCACUCACUUGGCGAUACAGUUGGGGGUUCUUAACCUGGAGGACCACGACCUGCAUUUGGCGUGCGAGAUGGAGCUCUUGGACGUAGACUGCUUGGAGAGGAUGGGAGUCAUUGAGCGCCUGACUGAUGGUUCCUACCAGUUCACCCCCCGGGACCACUUAGAGCUCCGGGUGCGCAUCAUUCGUCCCGGGCAGGGCCCUCCUCCUUUCCUGGAUCAGCCGAGAACACAGUUGGGCCAUCUUCUUCUACGCCACCUCCACCGCAUGGGACUACUGAAUGGCAGCAACUCCGGGAGCAGGUUCAGACUUUGCAGGCUCGGAUGAUCAACGUUGACGCCAAUGUCGCCGGCAUAGCCCAGAAUUUGGCGCAGUUUCUGAUGCAUACAGGCUUUGCACCCCCGUUUCCACCUCGCCCUCCGCUAUGACCCGAUUUCAGGGAAGUUUGGCUGAUCCCCCUGACACUUUUGCUUCAAUUUUGGUUUUUAUUUGUCACAUUGAGGACAAUGUGUCCUAUAGAUGUGGGGGGAGGAUCUAAGGGGGUGGGUGCUAGUGUUUUCCGUUUUUAGUAAAAAAAAAAUAAAAAUAAAAAAAAAAGAAAAAACAUGUAAGUUUCUAGUUCUUAGUAGUUUCUCUUAGUUUUAUUUCCAGUUGCUCGUUUUCGUUCUUUCUUCUUGGUGCUUACCUCUCAUGUGAAUGUUAAAAUUGAUGUGGAAUUAUUGACUCCAAGUCUACUUUUGCCAAGUUUUUUAAAAUACAAAGGUAUCGGGUUGAUGUGGUUGGAUCCGAGAUAUCUCCUUGGUGAAUAUCGGAUUGAUUGGCUCUUUUGAUUUCUGUGUUAACUUUUCUAGACGUUGGGAAUGACUGUUGGCAUUUUAAUGUGAACUGGUCCAAUAUUGACUCCAGUUCUCUAUGUUUGGCAAUAAUGAGGCGAGCUGUUCCUAUUUUUGGCUCUUAGUGUUGUUAUUAUGUGUUUUUGGCUUUGUUUGGCUGUGAAUAAUCUGGACUGUACUCCGCUAUGAGUUACUACUGAGUAGCCAGGGAUCGGCACCUCAAAGUGUCGAUUAUCGCGUCAAAAGGUGGUACUUUAUAUGAGUAUGUGGUCGUAUAGCGGUAGGAGCUGAGUAACCGGGCUCCUUCAUCUAAAAGUGUGGGAGUUCGCGUCAAAAGGCCCCAACGGCUAACGAUUAAGUUUUUUUGUGUUAAGUAUUAAUUGUUGUCAAAAAAAAAAAGAGAGAGAAUAAAUAAUGGGAAGGCUUGCCGAUUUAUGGACUUAAUAUGGAGAGUUGUGUGAAUAUUUGGACCAUUAGCUGAUAAAUGUUGUGCGCCAUUCCUUUUUCUUAGAGUAGUUAACCUGGAAAUUGAAGGAAUUUGCAGUUUAGGGGCUAACCGGGGGGGAGGCUUCUUGGAUUUUAAUCACCGAUGCUCGAUAUAUGUUUUUCUCUUGAAUAUCUUGGCAAUAUAGGAGAUUGGGCAAUGGCCAUCAUCGAAUUUUGGUGUUCGUUUACUAUUCUUAUGCUUGAGGACAAGCAUGGUUUAGGUGUGGGGGGAAUUGAUAUGUUGCAAUUUAUUCAUUUAUUUUAUUAUUAAUUCCUCCUAUUACCUGACUUGAUGUGGAUUUAUUUGCUGGAUUCUACUCAUUUUUAGUAUUUGACGUUUAUUUCAGGGAGUAGAAUAUAAAUAUGAUAACAGGUGUCAAAUUGGCAGAAAAAGAAUUCAGAUGAUUAAGCUUGUCCCAGAGGCACUUUUGGAACAGAAGAUGUCACGCCCAUUUUGGUAAUUUUCGCAAAGGAACGACGGACGGAGGGCUUCUCUUCCUGUUGAUGUGCGCCGCAAUUAAAGAAAGAGAAGGAGGAGGAAGUUGGAUAGUUUUUUUUUCCUUAGUUCUGGCCGGCUGAAGCUUAGGAGGAAAGCUUGACUUUGGUCUUCCCUGGGACUUACUUUUGAGCUUUAGAAAACUAGAGAAAAAGCAUUUGUUAGCUUUGAGCUUUGACUUUUCUUCUUUUAUUUUGAAUCCUGCGCAUGGCUGGAACAAGAGGGAAUUACUUCCUUUGACCCUUCUUUAGCUUAUUGUAGCUUCUGGUCUCCACGCAUGUUAGGAGCAAAAAGUUGGAGCCCACCUUCUUUAACUUUUCCACCUUGUUUCUCUUGAGUGGCCCUGCCCCACGGAUGCUAGCAACAAUAAAGAAACUCAAUUGUCACUUGUAAUUGUCGCGUGCCUUAUAAGUGUUCGACGAAUUGCGGAUUCCUAAGAUGCAGACUAAGGCCGUGACUCUGGCUGAAAUUUCCUGCGGGCUUAGUUCAACCAAUAUGAGCUAAUCCCCUCAUUCUAGUCAAGAAACGACGGAUGCUUUGAUUCGCCUAAAAAUUGUGAGAUCGAUUUAAUUUAAUCUUUCCCUUUUAUUUAUUGGUAUUCGUGUAUUCCUUGUUUGCUACGCUUAUGGUUAUUCAAUUAAUUGAUUGUCAUGGAUCCGGAUAAUUAAUUGAUCUGAUAGCCUAUUGUCAACUAGGACAUUUAAAUCCGUAAUUGUUUGAUUGUCCUGAAUUAGUGACGACUGGCACGAUUAGCUUCGUGUCAGGGGAAUACACGGGCUAACUUAAAAUAACCAUGGUAGUGUGUUAUUUGGUUAGAAUAGGGCUCUUCUAAUACGUAAGGCAGUUGGGAAAUUAAAUCUUACGGGCGUACCUAGGAUUAUUCCCCAAUUAGAGCAGUGAUUAACGGGCGUACCUUGAUCACCGACACAGUAAGGAGGGGUUGACUGCCAUCGCUUGCUUGGUAGUUAUAACCUAUUUAUUGAUAAGUAAUUGGGAUUGCCUUUGUUUCGAUGAUCAAUUAGGUGAACCAUUGCUGAAGUUAUUUCUUGGCUAGAUCUUUAAUUAAUAUUAUCUUGAUUGUAGUGAAUUGCCAUUCGGCUUUUGGUUGUCUACGUUAUUUCCUUUUUAAUUGUUUCCUUGUUUUAAUUGAUUUAGGCCUUUAAUUCUUGUUAUCCUGAGUUCAGUAAAUUGUGGUUUAAUUUCUAAUUAGUUGUUUAUUUUUAUUUUCUCAUUGGAAUUUUAGUUAAUUAUCGUCGUUCCUACAAAAUCAUCCCCUGUGUUACUUUGGAUUUCUUAAGAAACAAAUAUACCCAGUCUCUGUGGAUACGACCCUACUUGCCCUGUCUACAAAUUCAUAAUUAUUUGUGAAAAGGAAUAACCAUUCCAUUCGGGUAUAUCGGAUCAAGCAAAUUCUUCGGGAAUAGGGUGAAUCAAGUAACCCAUUGCACACCUAGAGUCCCUGCUCCAGUACUUGGAAUUGGGUUUUGGUCAUUUUAACUGGCAAUUAGGUUUAACUUUAUUAUUGCACAGGUUUCGACAACCUGUCAAUAUAUGACUAUCAUUUUUUGAUGUAUAAAAUGUACAAACAAAUAUUUCUUGUUUAAAGUCUUCGUUUAAAUAGAAUUAAUAUUCUUAUGGAAGAAAUAGCAAGAGAAGUCAGACAUUCAAAUUAGAUAGAAGUGUAUAACGUGAACAAGCAUAUUGAUUAUAACAUAUUUGUGUUGGAAAUUUUGCCUUAAAUUUAAGUGUUCUUCAUGCAUUUUUCCUAAGCUUAAUUAAUACAUUCAUUCCCUUUUAGAUUCAUUCUUGUAUUCAUGUACCUCUUGGAUUCAUUCCCUUUUAGAUUCAUUCUUAGAUUCAUGUUCCUCUUAGAAUUUACUAGUUCUUUCAUAUAACUUCUAAAUUCAUGUACUUUGUAAUAAUGAUGGUACAUGCAUCUCUAUUCUUGUGUUCCUAUAAAUAGAGGAUUUGGAUUUUCAAUGUAAAAGUAAAUUCUAUUUUUAUUCCUCCUUCUUACAUGUAUUUUUAUUCUUUUCGGAUCACACUUUGGUUCCAAGUAAUCCAUUACAAGGUCAAAACCUUGAUUUGUGAAUACACGCGAUCGAUGCUAGUCGUUGUUCUAUCUUGGAAAGUGACCACUUAGUGACCCAUAUUGCACCAUGGACAUAUUCCUGUGGGAGUAAGAUCACUUUUACGGGCAAUAGGGUAUCCUACAUUUUGAUUUUCCUUCUAGUCGUCAAUUACUCUAUUUCUUUGAAUUCUUUUCCUAAAUCAGAGUACUUGCAUUCUAACAAUUUGAAUCUUAUGAAGUUCCACAUUUUACAUAGUGAUUUUGCAGAGUGCCCUAUAUAUAGGACCACAAGGUCAAUACUAUAAACAAAGCCAAAUAGAUGUGAACAAAAGGUCAUGGAAUAAGUGACCACGUUAAGGAACAUGUAUCUGCCACCAAGUGGUUCCGGCAAUAGCAUUCUAGGUGGAAGGUCACCUGCUUUUGAUGGAGAAAUCAACUCACAAGUAAACCAAACCCCACCAUCAUAUCCACCACCUAAAUUUACUCCUACUAGAAGUUAUUAGUGUGAAUUAAUUAAUACUUUGUUUUUUCCUAAUUUCUUUUUAUUGAAAAAAAAAAUUAAACAUGGUUAACUCUUAUUUGUCCUUUCGAUUACAUUCAUGGAUCAUAUGAUAUGAGAUUAUUGACUUGUACAAUGCCUUGUUUGUUUUUAAACCAACAACUCCGUAGUUGUGGGUUGAACCAAUACUUAAACUUGUGGACCAUAAUUGAAAUGCUUGUCCUUUUUUUCUGAAAUUCAUCGAUCACAUGAUAUGAUGAUUUGUCUGUUUUUUAUCGACAGUUUUAUAGUUUUGAGUUGAUUUAACGCUUAAACUUGAGAUGACUGACUUUUGUGGAUUGAUUUAACAUUUAAAUUUGGAAGCCAUAUAACAUGAGAUAAUCAAACCAGUAACAUUAUGGUACUGAAUUGAACUUGUGCACAUGGCAAGAGGACUUGUCUCAUUAAAAGUCACAUCCUGUUAUUCAUAAAACAUAUUCUUGAUCUCAAGUAAAAGGAAGAAUUCUUUAAUAACAAUGAUGGCAAUGGGAAACUUUUUAAAUCAUGACCUAUUAUUACAAGUAAAGGAGCUGCUUUAGAAAUAGGAAACAAUCCCAAAUGAAAAAUCCACCUACAUAAGCUACUGCUUUAUCUACACCUUCAUUUCAAGGUUUCUAGAACCUUUUCCUCACAAGACUAAAAAUAUCUUUCUUUUCAGUUUCCAUGAUUGCUGUGUACUGGUGGGGACAAAGACAGACAUUGACAGAUAAUGACUGUAACCUUUUAUUUCUUCUCAAUUUUUGUUAUAGUUUGUAAUAUACUUUCUGAUGCAUUUGAAGAUUUGCCCCACUUAUUUUGACCUCCAGUGCCUUGCCAUUUCAAAGCCAUUCUUGGCAUAAUGAUAAUCCUCUUCAGUUUGAUCAAUUUCAGCCUGUGUAUUCAUGACAAAGGGACCGUAUUGAACUACUGGUUCAUUCAGUGGCUGCCCUCCUAUUAGAACAAAUCUCAGUGGCCUGGAAGACCUGUUCCAUACACUGAGGCCUUCUCCAGGACCCAAAAGCAAAGCAUGGUGAGCAGCAACAGGUGAUGAAUUCGGUAUUCCAAACACCCCUUCUCCAUCAAUUGUGUACACAAAAGCAUUCCAGGAUUCUGGGAUGCUUUGAUGAUAUUGAGCUCUUGGUUUCAGAGUGAAAUCCAAGUACAUUGUUGGGGUUCGCGUAUAAACCGGAGAAUGGACUCCCAUUGAUUCUCCUGCUAGUACUUUAACUUCAACUCCAUCUUCCUCUGCCCUUGGAAUGUCCUCAUCCAGCAAUUCUUGAUACCUUGGCUCAAUCCUGCAAUGAGUACGGAGGGCGAUUUUAUUAGAGGAAAGUAGCAAUAAGUCAAUAUUUACGGACUAAUGAUGUACUACUGUUGACAGUGCAUUAGGCACCAGUACCAUCCUUACUAAAAAAGAUUCUGAAAUCAUUAGGCACUUAUCUGAACCUUAGUGGAUCAAAUAGAAGGGCUUAUUGAUCAACACCAAUUCGCAGAAAGUAGCCUUCUAGAACACCGUGUUUAAACAUGACUUUCUAAAAUUAAUGGAGUAAUGUCACAAUCCACAAAUAGCCUGCUAAAUGCUAAAAUUCGAUGUCUUAAUCAGAAAGGUAAUCUACAUAUAUUCUGUGCGGUACAUGUGUCUGGAAUCAGGUCAAAAUGGACUAGAAAACGGACAUGCCUGGUAACUUACAUUUUGUCCUUGGAAGCAAGAUUGAUCCAAAGCUGCAGGCCUGUCUGUGUACCUCCUGCUGCAGGCAUUUCCGAAUGAAUUAUGCCUCUUCCUGCAGUCAUCCACUGCACAAAACCCCACAUAGGAAUUGCUUACUACUGAAUUUUUUCAUUAGUUCUUGAAUUAGCAGUACAAUAAUUCAGUGAAAAAGUUGUAAGAAAGGUAUGAAAAUUUACCUGCACAUCACCGGUGCGGAUUGUGCCCUUGUGACCAGCAAAAUCUUGGUGUGUAAAAGCUCCCUAAAGAAAACAAGGCCAAAUUUCCGGUCAUACAUAAAUUCUGGUAAUCUAGGACAGAAUUUCAGGUACAAAAAGUCGGUCUCUUUACCUGCAACAUGUAUGUAACAGUCUCAAAACCUGCACAAUAUCAGGGAGCAGAAAGUAAGAUAACUGAUCAAAUCCAACGUAUGGAAAACAGAAUCAGGUAAUUUGAUUGAAACAGAGUUGAAUGUAUGUGUCAUGAACCUCUGUGCGGGUGAUCCGGGAAUCCAGCAGGGGGUGAAACUGCAAGAACACAUUGAAUCAACAAUCAAAGACCAAAUUAAGCAACAUUUUGCUUUUGGGCAAAAAUUAAGCAGCACUGAAACUGAUAAAACAGUGUGAAACGCAUCAUACAUCAAAAUAUAAAGAAUGCGUUACCAAAUUCAGCACAAAUUCAAGAAUUCUGUAAAAGUUCUAUCCAAAGAAUCAUGAAGAAAACCAUAUGCAGAGUUUUAUUUCAGAAACACCAUAAUCAAGAACACUAGGAUUUUAGUAAAUUGUACCUGCAAAUUCAUCCAACAUGAGGAAAGGAUCAAUAUACUUCAGUUCGGACCUGUCCAUCCAUUCAACCAAACAAAAUUCAGAGAUAAUCAGAACCCAUGUCACCAAAUGUUCCAAAAACGCUCAAAAUCAAAUGAAUUUCAGAAAACAAGAAUGCAAGAAUUUACGAAACCACGUUCCCGGAUGCAAUGCCUACGUAUUACUACAACAUAAUUUCAUUAAACAAACCAAAAAAACCCACAAAAAAAAGAAGAAAUUACCUGCCAAUGCUCCUUCUAACAACAGCACCAUCUCCUUCACUCUGUGGCUUAGCCAAGACUUUCUUGACAACAAGUCUUGGACUAUCAAAACCAGAGCUUUGAUCUGACGACGUAGACAUGGUUAUUCCUCUGAUAAAACUGUAAACUCCCUUGUUGUUUCUUGUAUUUGCAAUUCUUGUUGGAUGCAAAUUCACUAGAAAUUGUCUAGACAAAGCUCUCAUGUAAUAUUUGCUUGUGCUUGAUUUUCCAACUCUUGCUCUUCUUGUCUAUAUAUAUAUAUAUAUGGACACGCCGAACAAGAAAAGAUGGCCGUGGUGUUCCCGUAUAAUUUUAGUGUGUGAGUGUGUGUAUUUUAUAACGACUUUGGGGAUGCGGGAAGCCAGGAAGGCUGGGGUUGGUUAGGAAUCUAAAGGGGGCGUGGGGAAAAUUGGAAAUGGGGUCCACUUCUUCCUCUUUGGACCAAUGAUUUGAUGACAUCAUACUCAUGUCACCAUGAUGGUGGACUACUAGCCUGAGCCGUUGGCCCAAAAAAAAAAAGAAGAUUUACUCAAAGUAAAAACAUAAUUUAAAAUAUGAAAAUAUGGGUCUAUUUCUGACCCCCGAAGGAAGCUUUAUUAGGAUUUGAAUCUAUUCCAAAAGUUUUUCCUUUUGGGCAAAAUUUUUUUUAGCUAAAUGAUAUAUUAACUGAUUGAAUAACAUUUACUUGUUGGGGGUGAAGAUGUAAAAAUCUUUUUUUUUGGGGGUAAAGGUAAAGUAUGCUUCUGUAAAUGGGGAAGUGGAUUAAUUUAAAAUUUUAGGGUAUUUUACGUGACAGCAUGGCAAGACUUCAUUGAAAAAUUAACCAAAGAAAAAAAAAUAAUAAACUUUGGCAAUCAGCCAAAAAAAAUUUUGAGGUCAAUUUAAUAAAGUGUUUGACUUUUGGGGGGAAAAAUGAAAAAAGAAAGAUGAUGAACUAAAAGCCAAAGGGAUGGUUGAAAUUAGCUACAAGUGGAUAACUAAUAUUUAGCCCAUGCAUUAGAACUGAUUUUUUUAAUUAUAAUUAGUUAUGUAUCGAUGCAAAACAUAAAUAAUUCAUCAACAAUGUUUAUACAUAUUAUUCACGUUUGUAUUAGAAAAAUAUUGUAUUUCAAACAUAACUACCAUAUUAGCCUUUACAAACUUUUAUACAUAAAUUUAUUAGAAUGUGAUAAUAUUCAUUAAAUAAUAUAAUACAUAAAAAAGUAAUAGGUAUUCUUUGAGAUAGUAAUUAAAUUUUGGGAUAAUUUCAGAAACCUCCCCUGAGGUUUCUGACAUUUACACUCACCUCCCCUGUGGUUUGAACAAUUACACUAACCUCCCCUGAGGUUACUAAUCCUUUACAAAUUCAGUCCAAAUGAUUAAAAUAUUGUUUUAUAGAGUGAAAUUAGAAUUUUGUACCUGAUUUGCCCUUUGUGCUACAUGUCCAAUGAAUGACAAAGUAUUAAAAAUUAAUUAAAAAUUAAUAAAUUUUAAAGAGCGUAGUUUAUAGGCAAAUACGUAUUACUUAUUUAAAGUACCACCUCUUUACGGGUAUUUUACUUUCAAACAUUUACUUUAUUACAAAUAUUUAUUCUCAAAUACAGAUUUGUAUUUAUUCUCAAAUAUUUAAUUUUUGUUAAAUAAAAAACCUACCAGUUUUUCUUUCGUAGAAAUAUUAAUAUAACACUUUUUCAAUUUUAGUUAUAAAUAUUUAUGUAUUUAGCAUAAAUUAAAUGAUUCAGGAUAAAAUACUCAUAAAGAGCUAAUACUUUACUCAUGUAAUGGAUGAAAACCAUAAAAAAUUAAUACUUUAUGGGCCAUUUCUUUUUUUAAAAAAUAUUUAAUUUAUAUUAAAUAGAUAACCUACUGAUUUUCUUUUUACGAGAAUAUUACUGUAACACUUUUUAAUUUUUAAUCACAAAUGUUAAUAUAUUUGUAAUAAAGUAAAUAUUUGAAAGUAAAAUACCUGUAAAGAACUGGUACUUUAAAUAAGUAAUACAUAUUUGCCUAUAAACUACGCUCCUUAAAGUUUAUUAAUUAUUAAUUAAUUUGUAAUACUUUGUCAUUCAUUGGACACGUAGCACAAAGGGCAAAUCAGGUACAAAAUUUUAAUUUCACUCUAUAAAACAAUAUUUUAAUCAUUUGGACUGAAUUUGUAAAGGAUUAGUAACCUCAGGGGAGGUUAGUGUAAUUGUUCAAACCACAGGGGAUGUGAGUGUAAAUGUCAGGAACCUCAGGGGAGGUUUCUGAAAUUAUCCCUUAAAUUUUCUCAUGAAAAUAAUUAUACACCUAUUUAUAUUCAUUUUUAGUUCAGGACCAAAAAAAAAGGCAGCAAUCUAUUUUUAUAUGAAUGGUUUUUUAAUUUGAACCAACGUUAAUAAAUUUAACAAUGUAACAAUUAAAUUUACACUAAGAAAAGUUACUGAUAUGGAUAAAAAGUAAAAAUUGAUUAAAUGCGAUAGAUGUUGCUAGAAUGGAGAGAAAUUAUAAGCGAAAUUGAUUAGAGGAGAUUUAGAUGCAAAAAUAGGUAAAAUCUAAGUAUUCAUUCGUCGAUUAAUUCUUUUCAAUUAAGCACAUCACCUAGGAUAGAGAAAAUGAUUAAUUGAAGUGAGAACUUUCAUGAGUCUAGCCUCUAGGUAGGGUUUAAGUUCAGAUCUAUAUCAUGACAUGAAUCAAGCAAAAUUAGAUCCUAUCCAAACCCAUGAUUUUGGUAAAGGAUCUGAAUCUAGGUAGAGUUUACGUUGAAAAGUUGGAUCUAAAUUCAAGAAAAACACAAUAGACCUGAGUUGCGAUUGGUAAUACUCUACCCAUUUUCAUGCUUACUAGUAUUAGCUAUUGAUAUGUACAUUGAUGUUUUAGAACAACUACCCUUUCUAAUCGAAUACAACUACUAAUCAAACAAAUACCACUAUUUGUCUUUUUGUGUUUGUUUUUUAUCUUGAUUUUGCCAACUAACAAGUUCCGAAGAAAAGAUCUGGUCUUCCUGUGUGCUGUCCAUGUUUAGACGUAAUUGACAAGAAUUUUGAAAAGGUUGGAAGAUAAGAAAGAGUCCAAAUUGAGUUUCUCAAAAAAAAUUUUGAACCUACAAACUUUUUUAAAUAAAUUUAUUUAAGAAAAUCUCAUGAGAUCUUGAGGGUAAAAUUGUGAAUGGUUAUGCAUUAACCCCAAUUUAUUAAAAUGAAGUAGAAGAAGUUACAAGAAGAGGAGAGCGAGGAAAAACCUAGCACCCAUAAAAAUCAAUUACAAUAUUGAUAUCAAAAAAAAAAAAAAAACCGCCCUUUAUUAAAGGAGGUAUAUUAGAUUUUUGAACUACAAAUAUAUUGUGUCAAAUUACUCUCUCAUCAUACCCAUUAUUUCAUGGUUAAUUUGUUAUAGGAAUGUUGACAAUAUGGGAAAAUAAUGCUGAAUUUGAAAGUUUUGUUGACUUGCUACAUUAUUUCUUCUUUUCACAUCUGUUUUUUGAAGUGUCAAAAUGACUAUUAUGUAGACUUUAAAGAAGAGAGGACAAAAUGUUAAAAUUGAUAAGGGAAAAAGAAGUGUGAUUGUAAAGAGAAUAAUAAAAAUUUUGUAAUUAUGAUAAAAAUCGAGGAAAUAUGGUGAUUUAUUCAAAUUACGAUAAUGUAGUGGACCUGUAUUGAAAAAGUUCGGAAUUGAAUCAUGCACGCCUCGAAUCUUUGAAAUUGAAGGACUCUGUUAGUAUUCUUUCUUUUUGGUAGCAGCACAUAUCAGCGAUCCUCCAAUAAAAGUAGAAUUAUGAAGAUUGAAUAUGAUUUGAAUAACAAAUAUCACAAAUUUGCCCUAUUUAUCCAACGUGUGAUCAAUGUCACAUAUUUACAAGGUAACAAGUGUUUUUUUUUUUUUUGGCAUUUUAGAAACAUAAGGUUAAAUUGAUAAAGACUCAAAGAAGCGAGAGAAAUACAUGAGUGUUUUUGUUUAGAUAGUAAAUUAUGUUGGUACAUAUUAUAAAUUACCGAUUAUCGAUUGGACACCUAUAAAUUAAAAUCAUCUUAAAUAUGAAUGAUAUGAAUUAUAAUUACUCUUACACAUUUUUAAAUAUUCUGGUUAAUCUCUAAUAAAUGGCCUAUAUGAGAUCAUAUACGUCAUCCAACAAUCAUCAAUACCAUCAUUUUCACACUUUGGAAUAUGCUACUUAUACAUAUCCACGCCAGAAUAAUAGAACACCCGUAUGGGUUCUGAUGUAAGGUUUAUGUCCCUAUAACGUCAAUGGCUGUUCUUCCUCUGUACUACCUUAUUUGUGCUGUUUUUCCAUCUGUGAAUCAACUAAUCUGAUUAUUGAAAACGAAGUCAAUUGUAUGAGAAUCACGUAAAGAAUUUCAGCAAAAUUUUGUCAUACUUUCCAGCUUGCAAAAUGGGUCCUCGGGAAUACAACAGUUUCCACUUGAAAAGAAAACAGAAAAGUUUUCUUGGUCUCAGAUAAGGAUCGAAAGGAAAAAAAGGUGCAGAUUAGUUUAGUGUCAUUAUCUCAUUUAUGGUAAUGUUUUGGAUUAACAGGGUUUGAUUCUUUUUGAAACCAAUUUUCAAGUUAAAAUUUUGCUUAAUAACUGAAUAAUUAGUAGCCUUAAGCUACUGCUACAGACUAAUUAUCAACUGAAAUUGUGCGCUUCAACUGUUUUUUUUUUUUUUUUUUUUUUUGCUACAAGAAGAAAAUACAUGAUAGCCUUGCAUUUGGAAAUUCUAGGGUUAAUGUCCACAAUGUAUUAUUGUUAAAAAUGCAUUUAUUUCAGGGGUUAACAUUCCACUUGUUGAUUGUGGCAUAGAAAGGUAAAAACAAAAAAUGAAUAUAUUCAUACUUUUUUAGUAGCUAUCACAAAUCCUCUAGAGUACAAAUCACCAAUCCACUAUUUAUUCGGGUUAAUUUGCAAAGUGGAAUCGUCACCUAUUUAUCCUUAUUUUAUUUAACUGUGCUUGUAUGUAUCCGGCUUGUCUUUCUCCUGCAACAGAAAUGGAUCUUUGGCAGAAAUUAAAUGCAUGCGCACCUUCCAAGCAUCAACAUGGAAAAAUGAGUCAUGCCAACUAUACCAUGUUGUCAUUGUUGAGUGUUAGAAUUUGGAGGCAUAUGUCAUUUUUUUUUUUUAUUGGAAACCGGAUCAAAUCAGAACUUUGGAAUCUCUUGUUUUUGGCAAAAAAAAAAAAAAAAUUGCAAUUUUAGUUCCCAAAGUUUGGAGAGGAGCUAUUCUAGUUCUCAAAGUUAUCAAAACUUACUCCACAUGAUGAUUCUCUACUUUUGACUUAGCAAAUAUAAUGAAAUUUACUCCUUUUCCAAAAUCAACCUACAUGAAGGAAUAACAUAAACUCUUACUCAUAGAGGGAUUUAUAAUUAUUCUUCUAUCUGUUAAUUAUAGAUCUAUUAUUUUUAGUGUAUGUUUAUCUCCUAUCAUUAGUGCAGAUUUUUAUAAUAUAUAAAUAAAAAAAGAUCGUAUUGGACGAUUUCUAAUAAUUUUGUUAAUGAAAUUCACUUUUAUCCCAAAAAAAAAUUCUCAUUUUGAUUCUUAUUUAGAUUCCACAAUGAAAGGCAAAACAACUUCUGAAAUGACAUAAAUCAUACAUAAGCAUUGCGCUAUAAAUCACACCUAGGCAUUGCGUGUGCCAAAUUGGACCGACAAUGAAAUGAAAGCCGGCCGCCGACAUUAUUGGAAAUUUCUAAAGGAAGUGAAUUUGCAUGAUUCGUGCAUGCACCUCAUGCAACUUUUACGCUUUUUCCACUCUUCUUCCCCUCUUUCCUCUUUUCAGCCAUAUCUAAAUAGAGUAUUAUAUAUACAUAUUCAAUUAGAUCCAUCUUUCAAACAUAUCUAAAAUGAGGAUUAUAUGUUUGGAUCGAGUCUUUUACAAAAUAGUAUAAUUUAUGUGCUUUUAUACCAGUCUAGUAAUCACAAACUAUAUACAGAUUCAACUCCAUCUUAGAGAAAUUGCUAAUUUGACUAUUUAUAGUUGGACAAUCCAAUUUUUGGAGCAAACUUUUACAUUUUUUCAGUGAUCUCCUUUGAAAAUUUCCAUGUUACAUACAGAUCAGAAUAUAAAAAAGAAAAAAUGCAGCACUGAAUACCAAAAAAAUUUUUAAAAAAAAAUUCUAUUUGAGCUGAAAGAAAGUCAUAUGAAAAUAUAGAGAAAUUAAAAGACAACUACAUUUUUCAAUUGGAAAGUGGACUACAAUUUAGGACAGACGAAAAAAGAAAACAUGACUAUCAAAGUGGGACAGAGUGAGUAUUAUCUUGAGAUCAUUAAAUUCUACCUAGAAAAAUGGAAUGCUAUCAUAUUAAACCAAAACCAACGAUAGAUUAAUACAUAAGUUCCUGCGAAAGUUAAAUUUCAGUGAUUUACUCGUUUCGAGUAGCGAUUUUUUAAUUUGGCAUUAUUUUUUUGGUAAAUAAUACGGAUCAUUUAUUUUAAUAACAUUUAAGUUGUUAUUUCACCAAACUAUUGUGGAAUUUUUAAUAAACUUGGAAUGCUUGUCAGCCUAUCUAGUUGAAGUCCUUCUUUUUAAUUAAUAUAUAUUUAAAUCUGUAGUAAGACAAAUCCCUUCUUGUGUGCUCAUUUGUCGCCAUCAUACUGAUGGGAUAGUUGCAAUUGAAUUGCUAUAUUAAUUGGUCGUAUCACAGCCUGGAUUGUUGGUCAACCUCUGUAUCUGCCUUUAUUAUUGGUUCGUCUAUGUCUGCUUUCAAUAGCUGUCAUAUUUUCAAAUAACAAUAUAGAUUUUACGUAUUCAAUUAGAAUAGAUUUUCAGUUCUAGAGUUGAUUAAUGUUGUCUUUGGUCAAAAAAAGGAAAAUAAAAAUUCUGCAGUCAAUAGCCAUCAUAUUUUUUUUAAAAAUAAAAUUAUGCGUAUAAAAUUCAAUUAGUACAGAUUUGCUGCUCUUUAAGUUCUUGGAUGUUUAUGCCUCAUUCGUUUAGCUUCAAAUGCAUACGUUACUAAGUCCGAAUCAUUAGCCUCUCAUAUUUGUUUGGGUUAUUCUUAAAAAAUUUGGUGUGUGCUAUACAUUAGAAAUAAAUAGUCAACUUUGUCGCCAUGAACCAUGCGUUUUGUUUGGUUUUUUAUAAUCUUAUUUAGUUUAUCGUCUUACUUACUUGAUUAAAGAAAUGGAUAAUAAAGUAAUGAUUUAAUUAACAUUUUGAUUUACUUUGUAUUAGCUAUAAGUAUAGGUAAUAAGUGAUUUUCCCUUUAAUGUCACAUUAAACGCACUAGAUUACAAAUUCUUUGUAUCUUAAGUUUGAUUAGCAUAACAAAACCAAAAGAAGAGUGAUAAUUGUUAAUAUUCAUGUGCGAAAAUGAUUAGUAUAUUAUGUAUAUUUUUAUAUGGUCCAAAGAGGGAUUUCAAGUCUUAUAAAAGGGACAUAGGAAAGGGUUUCAAAUGCUAGCAAGACAUUUUAGUAAUAAAACUGGUUUAUUUUUUCAGUUAAAACAACCAAAAGUAAAGUUUGAGCCACUUGAAGUAAUGAAUGUUGAUAUUGUGCUAAUAAAUCUAAUGACUUUAAUAUAAAAAGAUUAUGAAACAUCUUUUUGACGUAAAGAUACAACAUUAGGCAAAUGAUUUUGAAACUUUAAUAAAUGUUUGAGGCAUUAGACAUUUAUUCUUUGUUAAAUAACUUGUGAGAAGAAGUAAAACAUUAUUUUUGUCUACAUGUUUCAUAGACUUGGGAGAAAAAAUCUUUGUAGAAGAUGAACUUGGUAAAUAGGAUAUGAUAUUUUUCAUGUAGAAAAUAAUAUUACGAUUCCAAACUAUCAAUAUUUUUACUUUACCAGCUCAAACUAUUAAUUUCAAGUGCACUGCUCAAGUUAAGCUAAUGUCAAACAAGAAUAGAUGUAAUAAAAGUUUUAACCCUCAUAGAGAACUCCUCAAAGUACCUAUAUAUGUUUUCCAUUCCCCAUAUUUCCCUCAAAGAGUUCUUUUUUUUUUUUUGGUCUCACUCUUCUUGCUUCCAUCCUCCAAUGGCAAUCCAAUCUGGCCCCUCUUCUCCUGAUUUCUUUCUUCUUAUCCUCUUCUUGACUAACCUUAUCUCUUUUUUUUUUUUUUUUUUUUUUUUUAGCAAACCCCCACACACAUGUUGGAAAGGAACUCGAUUUUUUCCUGAGAACAUUGAAAAAAUCCAAAAUAGCAUUUGAACCCUUCUUAGGCCCUAUUUAGAAUUGUAGUGCUUUUGAUAAAAAAAAAAAGUACUUUUCGAUGUCAAAAGUACUUUUGAAAAAACACCAUCCCAUAAAAUUAAGAGUUGAACUUUUGAUGUUAAAAGCACUUUUAACAAAAACUCAAAUUUAGAACUUUUACAAUAGUUUUUGUGUUUUAAAAAAUAAAACAUUAAAUUUAAUCAUUUAUUAUUUUAAAGAAUGUGAUAGUUCAUAGUUCUCUCUACUUAAGUAAUAAAUCAUGCAAAUCUAGAUUCAUAUUAAGUUUCGUUGUUAACUUCCUUCUUUCCUUUUUUUUUUUUUUUUGUUUUGUUUUGUAAGGAUGUUCUUCUUUAGUAGUUGGUUUAAAGUGUUGAAAUUAUUUUUUUGAUAUAUGAUAUUGAACAUUAUUUUGCUACGAUGUGACAAAUUAAUGCUACAAUAUAGUAGCUUAUUGAAAAGGUCUGUUUGCAUGAAGUAACGAGUAGACUACUUGUUUGCUACCUUGUCAUUAAUUGUUCUAGAACUAUUCCCAAAUAUGUGUUUGAAGUAUAAUAUAGGAUAAGGUAAUCAUUCUUGAGACAUUGGUGGGUAAAAUAUGAGAAAAAUAAAGUAGAAUAUCUCUAAGUAAAGAUUCUCCACCUAUGAAGCUACAUUAUCAAUUACUACCUACUUACAGAACUACAAAAAAAAUAAUUGUUUAAACAAAUAUGUGUUCAAAGUAUAAUUAGGAUAGAGGUAAUAGUUAUACAAGCAAUAGUAGAUACAACAUGAGAGGGAAAAAACAUGAGAGAAAAAAAUUGAAGUAAAAUAUCUCUAUGUAAAGAGUCUCCACCUAAGAAGUUCCAAAACAACUAAGUCAUGAUGUUCCCAUCUUUCAUGAAGUUGGAAAUGAUCUAGCACUUUAGAUUUGUAUAAAUAUUUUUGAGGAUAAAUCUCUGUGCCUAGCUACAUGAUUGGAUCUGGGUAUUGGUAAAAUAGAUUCUUCCAUCGUUUCAUUGCGCUUUAAAUGGCAGCUUGAUUCUGGGCUGGACGAUAGGCAAAUAUUAAACACAUUAAAAGGAAUGAUGACUAAAAUUCUAGUCUAAACUUGAAAUUAGGCAAAAGUCCAUUUGGAUUCACCAAUUUAGAAAGAAUUUUUUGUAUUACUUAACAAAUAUGUUUUCAAUCACAUCUUUAUUAUAUCAAUCAAUUUUAAUCUCACAUAAAAUAUAUCACAAAAACAAAAAUGAUAUAGUAUCAUUUUUAAACAAAUUUAUCCAAAUAAAUUUCAUUCCAAACGCAGCUUUUUUUUGGACAAGGGAACUGUAACCGCUACCCGAGAGUACGUACUGAAUAAACCCGUCCCGUACAAUAACCCACUAACCACACAGAGGGAUGAAACACACUAGGGAAGCCCUAUGCGACGUGCAGAUGUUUCAAGAGAAAUUCGAACUCAGGUUGAUAGAAAUGCAUAACAUCAAUUCUACUAUUUCAACCAACUCAAGGGACAAGAAUAGAUUAGUGUUGAUACUUAAGUUAACCACUGAUGUCAAUAACUUUUAAUUUAGACACAUAAAAUGGGAGAAAUCGCAUUUAUAACUUAAUUAGUGGAACACUAAUCGGUGUUUAUGAGAUUCUUAGUUGGACUCUCCCUUCCUCCUUAUAAUGCUUCAAGUCUCCCCUUCAAAAAAAAAAAAAAAAAAAGGGAGUAGAAUACUAAGCAUGCCUUUGAAUUUAGACCCCCUAAAGUGCACCUUUAAUUUGCAAGGUUUAAAAGUUCAAGUGGAGUCCAUGACUCAAUGCAUUAUAUAUCCACUCAAUGGCUUUUAUAUCUCCUCCACUUAAUAUUUGAGCAAAAGGCAAUACAUAACUUUUUUUGCACACUCAUCACAAAUGACAAAAACAAAAACGAACUGAAAGAAGAUAAGUGAUAGGUCGGCUCAAGAUCAUGUAUCUGGAUAUUCUCCAAUAUGCAGAAAAAGGACAUGAUUCUAAAAAGUGAGUUUCAAGAUUUUAGUGAGUCAACUUCUAGAAGCUUAGUGUUGAGGCUUAGAAUGUCAAAGUUGAGUUGACCUUGGAAAAGUAGUGCUUUGAGAGAAUUUUGUACACCAUCAUGGCACAAAUUUGGAUGAUGGGUUUCAUAGAUAGGGGCUGCUACUGUUUUGUCAAAAAGACAAAAAAAAAAAAAAAAGAAGAAGAAGAAGAAGAAGAAAAUACUAUACGACAUGAAGAAAAUAAUCUCCAGAUCAAAAACUAAUGAAUCCGUCCAUUCAAUUCCCUUAUGGCACAAGAUAAUUAAGCUCUAAAUCAAUAUUAGAACAAAAAAAUGUUACACUUCUAUUGUUUAAUCGUCUGAGAUUUUAAUUAAGUUUUGAUUGUGCAAAGGGACACAAAUUAGGAAAUCCAUUUUUAUUAAGGGUAGAACUAUUAUUACUAAGCUUACUGAAAAUCGUCCAAGUCCAAAGAGAAUCGAUUAAAGUUCCUGAGAUAUUUUAUUCGAUUUCCUUCGAACCCAAUUAACUUCCGUAGCACCAGAAACUAUCAUAGCAACAACAGAAAAGUGCGCUUAAGUACCGCAACUUGUUUAAUUUUAGAUUGGCCUGUAUCUAGAAGAAAUUUAUGAGUUUUGGCAGAAAUGUCUUUUUAUGAAGGUAAAUGGAGGAGGUAUAAGAAUGCUACUGUGUUGUCUUAAAAAGGAGGAACACCCUUAUGAUGCUCUACUGGUAAAAUGAGCCCAUAAAUUGAAUCGUUUCCGGGGUUGGAAUAGCGUUAAUACAUGAGACAUUGUUUUGGUUUUAGACUUAGAGGUGUAUGAUAGGGAUAAAAAUGAGAAAAAGAACACAAAGGAAACUGAUUUCUCACACGUAUCUUUUUGUAGACUGCUGCACGGAGGAGAGGGCAAGUGUUCUGCUGCGACAACUGAAGUUUACAUGCAAAUUUAAAUGGUGAGACUGUUCUGCAUUUAGCCAGUAUUGGUAUGAGAUUAGCUAUUCAACUAUUAAGCAGCAUUUUCAUGUGAAAAAAAUGUCACUAUUAAGCAGCAUUACUUUCAAAAAGAAUGAAAUCUGCAUUGGUCCAAAACAUUGCCCUAAAAUAAAUGACAUGAAGACACUAGAUCAUAUUUGUUUUUUGUCCUUUUGCUUCAUGUAAAAUUAAUAUAAUAAACAAGAACAUUAAAAUAACUAAUUGGACAAAAUGCAAGAUACAGGACUGACUACGGGGGGAACAAGUGGGGUGGGGGGAACCAAAACCUUUUAAUUGAUAAAAAAAAAAAGUAGUAGUGUUGAUGUUGCUGAUUAAGAAAAACAAAAAAAAAAAAAAUGAACAAAUGCUUUUAACUGAUCAAAAGGUUGUGGUGUGCAAUGCCUUAAUUAAAGGGACUCAAAUCACCUUACAAUCAAUCACACUUAAGGACUUAAGCCACCUUACGAUCAAUCAAAUAUUUAAGAUACUUAAAGGUAGAAUUAAAAUUUAAAGACAACGAAAUGAUGAAAAAAAAUUCAUUGAUUAGAAAUACCUGUCUUGAAGCUGUAUUCUUUUAAAGAAUCAACCACAAAUCUUUGUUUCACUCUUCAAUCGACUAUCUAUUGAAACGGGAAUUGAACCUAUACUAAAACUAUUUAAGCUUGAACAGAGAGCUUAAACUAUUAAAAACCUGAAACUAAUCAUGAAGAAAAAGGAAAUGGAACUGAUGUCCUGGCUGAUGUGUGUGUGUGUGUGUGUUUUUUUUUUUUUUUUUGGAUAAAACAGAGGCCAAUGUUAUUAAUAAAUUUGGUGGAAAUCGUUUAGCACAUUUUGCUUACUAAGAUAACUGCAUUAAUGAUAGAAAAUACAUUGUACAUGUCACAAAUAUAUCUAAUCUAAAAACUCAUUAUAUUGUGAAUCACAAACCGUCAAAUCUGAUCAAUUGCACAAGCUGCACCAUAAAUAUCUGUGUAUGCCUAUUCCCUCAAAUCUAUUAUCCAACUGGUUCAAGUUCAAAACUGAUGUUAAGGUCUGACUAUCUAUUAAGAAAUUUCAAAUCUAACAUAUUGAUAUGAAAAAACUCUUAUUAGAUCUAAGAAAAAUAACAAAAAAUUAAAUAAAACUCCCUCUAAAAUAGCCUAGGAUAGAAGAAAAUUCUCACUAAUAAACACUAGGAGAGAAAAAAAAAACUCUCACUAGAAUACCCUAAAAGAAACUUUAUUAAAUGUAAAAUAAAAAUAUUAUAGGAAGAGAAAGGGGGAUCUUGACUGGAGACCAAGAUUUCCCUCCUUUUACGGUGGAAUAAGGGUGGCGAGAAAAUUGAGAGUAGAGAGAAAGCAAAAAGAGAACGGGUGGGCAGAGAGGGAGAAAGGUAAUAACUUUUGAAUUAAUUUCUUACACUGACAGUGUGCCUUUUGAAUUAAUCUUUCCUACAUUGACAAUAUACACUGUCAGCAUUGGAUGAAUGACAACAGUACAAAAUUUGAAUUUAAAAUUUAACUUUUACAUAUAUAUCAUAAAUCUAUCGGUGAUAGUGUAUACAUUGUCAAUGUAUACUCGUAACGUUUUGGCUGAUGAGUUUGUGUCGCUUAAUCGCAUCCAUUGCUUUUAAUUACCAAUGAUCCUACCGAAGAUGACAAAAUUAAUUGUCAUUAUUGGAUUUUAAUUUUAGUAAAUUACUUUUAUAUGAAUUUAGGAUCCCUAAUUUGUAGCCUCAGCCUCAAUGAUGACCAAAUCACAGCCUAAUUUUUUUUUGCUGGUCGCCCUCUUUCUUAUUUCUUAUCAUGUCUUCUCUUCCCUUCUUGUCUAAUUUGCCACAACUUCAAAAAGGGCACAAGCUGUGGCGACUAGAAUAUUAGUUCCAAGCAAAAAGUGUCUCCAGAGUUAGGAUGCAAGUUGAAGAGAGGCAACUGUUCCGGGGCACACCUUCUUUUGUGAAAAAGCACAAAAUUUUCUUUUUGAAAAAUAACAAUCAAAGCAAAAAAAAUUCCUUAAACAAUAUAUAACUGUUCAAGAAACGGUACAAUUUAGAAUUUCUUUUUCGUUCAAAUUUAUAUAAAAAAAAAGCACAAUAAUUGAAUUGAAACAAUCACACGUCACAUAUUUUGUUUAUGAGCCCAUUUACAAAGAACGAUUUGAAAAACACGCAAAUAUGACUGAACGUAAUGAUAGAUAUAAAUAUGAGAACUCUAAAUAUACUAUAGUGCUUAGAAAAUGAAUUUCAAAAGAAGAUUAAACCUUCUUCUGCAAGCCUCACGUUUUUGCCUUUCUCUCAACAAAUUGCAAUCUUGCAACUUGCAGGGCAUAAUUGUAACACAAAAACAACUGUAGGGACUAUAUGAGGAAAUAUACUAAAUCUGCGGGCGUUUAAUGCAAUUAAUUCUAAUUUAGAUCCUUGUAGAGUCCGUUGCCCUCCACUAAACAGAGCAAGUAAACCUAAGCCAAAUUUCGCCUUCACAACAACCACCACCACCACCAGCGCUGCCGCCGCCGCUGCAGCAGCCGGAAGUAGAAAUUCAACAGAGACUUGUUUCAAAAUGGGGAGUAGGAAGCAGAAAAAUCAGAAGCAGCAGCUUUCAAAAACACCCACCAAAAAGCAUAAAAAUCAAAAGCCUUUGGGGCCUAAGAAAUCCGAAACUGGU
rnacentral:lncRNA from 1 species